UACGGAGGGUGCAAGCGUUAAUCGGAAUUACUGGGCGUAAAGCGCACGCAGGUGGCUGUGUAAGUCGGAUGUGAAAGCCCUGGGCUUAACCUGGGAACUGCAUUCGAUACUGCACAGCUAGAGUAUGGGAGAGGAAAGUGGAAUUCCCGGUGUAGCGGUGAAAUGCGCAGAUAUCGGGAGGAACACCUAUGGCGAAGGCAGCUCGCUGGGACGUUACUGACGCUGAGACGCGAAAGCGUGGGGAGCAAACGGG
rnacentral:rRNA from 1 species